rnacentral:rRNA from 1 species
AGUGAACGCUUGCGGUAGGCCUAACACAUGCAAGUCGACCGAGUGGCGGACGGGUGAGGCAUACAUCGGAAUCUACUCUGUCGUGGGGGAUAACGUAGGGAAACUUACGCUAAUACCGCAUACGAUUGAAUGAGCCGAUGUCGGAUUAGCUAGUUGGCGGGGUAAAGGCUCACCAAGGCGACGAGCCGUAGCUGGUCUUAGAGGAUGAUCAGCCAAACUGGAACUGAGAACCGGUCCAGACUCCUACGGGAGGCAACAGUGGGGAAUAUUGUACAAUGGGCGCAAGCCUGAUCCAGCCAUACCGCGUGGGUAAAGAAGGCCUUCUGUUUGUAAAGCCCUUUUGUUGGGAAAGCGGUACCCAAAGAAUAAGCACCGGCUAACUUCGUGCCAGCCGCCGCGGUAAUAC